rnacentral:misc_RNA from 1 species
GAUGAAGAACGCAGCGAAAUGCGAUAAGUAAUGCGAAUUGCAGAAUUCAGUGAAUCAUCGAAUCUUUGAACGCACAUUGCGCCCGCCAGUAUUCUGGCGGGCAUGCCUGUCUGAGCGUCAUUUCAACCCUCAUGCCCCUAGGGCGUGGUGUUGGGGAUCGGCCAAAGCCCGCGAGGGACGGCCGGCCCCUAAAUCUAGUGGCGGACCCGUCGUGGCCUCCUCUGCGAAGUAGUGAUAUUCCGCAUCGGAGAGCGACGAGCCCCUGCCGUUAAACCCCCAACUUUCCAAGGUUGACCUCAGAUCAGGUAGGAAUACCCGCUGAACUUAAGCAUAUCAAUAAGCGGAGGA